UACGGAGGAGGCAAGCGUUAUCCGGAAUCACUGGGCGUAAAGCGCACGUAGGCGGAUUGUUAAGUCGGGGGUGAAAUCCUGGAGCUCAACUCCAGAACUGCCUUCGAUACUGGCGAUCUUGAGUCCGGGAGAGGUGAGUGGAACUCCGAGUGUAGAGGUGAAAUUCGUAGAUAUUCGGAAGAACACCAGUGGCGAAGGCGGCUCACUGGCCCGGUACUGACGCUGAGGUGCGAAAGCGUGGGGAGCAAACAGG
rnacentral:rRNA from 1 species